GUGUCAGCCGCCGCGGUAAAACGUAGGGGGCGAGCGUUAUCCGGAAUUACUGGGCGUAAAGGGCGUCUAGGCGGCACGCCAAGUCUCGCGUGAAAGCUCCCGGCUCAACUGGGAGAGGGCGCGGGAAACUGGCGAGCUAGAGACUCGGAGGGGGGUGUGGAAUUCCCGGUGGAGUGGUGAAAUGCGUUGAGAUCGGGAGGAACACCCGUGGCGAAGGCGGCACCCUGGCCGAGGUCUGACGCUGAAGCGCGACAGCGUGGGGAGCAAACGGGAUUAGAUACCCCCGUAGUCC
rnacentral:rRNA from 1 species